rnacentral:tRNA from 1 species
GCCCCCCUAGCUCAUCUGGUAGAGCACCGCACUUGUAAUGCGGAGGUGACGGGUUCAAGUCCUGUGGGGGGCU